ACAGAUCGCACGGCCCGAGACUCCAAUGUAUAAGAUGGCCGUUGCUGAGGCCCAGGGGCACUCUGGCUUUCAGGAUGGGAGUGGGUCACUUUCCUCAGCGAAGACCCGCAGCCCAAGUUACAGGGUCUUGAUUGACAUUCGAGCAGCCAUCUUCAAUGUUAAGUGCCAUCUCAUGAGAUAGGUCCCGCUUUCCCGUACCUCCUCUCACCCCAGCUCCCCCACCCCCAUUAGUGACCUACCCACGGGACCCUAACCCUAAGCCCAUCCCAGAAGGCACGACCCCUGGACUCUGCAAAGCCCGGUGCCCUGACCUCCCCGUCCCGUGCUAUCUCUGCAGCAAGCACCCGAGCCUGUCCCCAGCUGCCAACCCCAGCUGCCAACCCCGCCCCACAGAAGCUGAGCCUGAACACCUUGCGGCCUCGCUGCCCCCUAGAGAGGUGCCUUUAUCGUCAGCUCUCCGCCUGGCUCCGGCGGCAUUUUCCCCUUGCCCAUCUCUUGCUUUCUUACCUCCCUUUCACAAGUCGUCUUUCUUUGGAGACCACAGUUACAUCUUGCUUUGUGACAACCAAUUUGGGGUCAAUCUGAUAUAAAGGGCACAUGAACCUCACACGGGCUUUCUCCUGCCCCCCCCACCGGGCUGUCCUCCUAACAGAAAGUGAACUUUCACCCCUGUCUGUCCUCUGCACAGAUUGACAGGUAUCGUCCAUGAACCUGUCUUUCAAACAGAAGAAAAAGAGCCGCAAACAUGAACUCUGUGUGUGCUUUCCCCAACGUUUUGGUGGUUGUUGCUCCUGUACCAGGGAUUGAACCCACGGCUGCUCUACCACGGAGCCACGUCCCCAGCCCUCCUUGUAUUUUACAUUGAUUCAGGGCCUUGCCAAGUUGCUGAGGCCUCAAACUUGCGACCCUCCUGCUUCGGCCUCCCAAGUUGCUGGGAUCACAGGUGUGGCCGCCACACUACUCCACGCCCGUCUUAUAGUAAAACACUCAUGAAAUUUAUUUCCCCCGCCGCCGUUUUUAAUUGCCUGGCUCGAUGCUAUUGAGUGGUCCACACUGCCGUGGGGUCGUCGCCACCACCCAUUUCCACCACUCUCCCGUCUCGCAGACCUGAUGCUCCACCUCACCUCACGAGCGGGAGCUCCCCACUCCACCCCAGGCAGCCCCCGUCCUGUGGGUCUCUGGCUGUGACCAAGUGCUCCCUGCAGGUGAGCCAUGGGCCAGCUUCUGUGAAGGUCACGUGAGGUUCCUCCAGGGGCAGGGAGUCAUCACCUCCAAGGAGGACCCGGGUCCUGGCGCACCCUGCAUCCGCUGCGGGACCUGGGCUGGUUCCACGUGUGUGCUGGGGGCGGGUCUCCAUGACCACGGGCUGAGCCCCUCGGGCAGACCCUGGCUCCAUUCGCCUUCAGGCCUGUGCGUGUGAGACCGUGGGUCCAGAGCGGCUCUGUCCCUGGCUCUCUCAGGAGCUCUGUCCUCCCACCUUGUAUCCCGGCAGUGCAGACGACGCCUGGUCUUCCUGUCUUGUUCAACUCUUGUCUUCCCUGGUUGUUUGCUGUGGCCAUCUCCAUGACAUGUGGCACUGCCCUGCAGUGGGCGAUGCUGGCAGCACCUGGGCUCGUGGCCACCUGUGGGCCACUUAAGGAGAGAUGGAUGUUGGGACUUCCUGUGGGUGUGAAGGGGCCUUUGUCCACUGGCUGCUGGGCUUCGGGCUUCUGCAUGUGCUCUGGGGUCAGUGCCACAUCAGACACGAGAUGCAUAUGCUUCAUCCCUUCUGCAAGUGUCUCUUCACCCUGUGGAUGCCGUCUGUCAGGCACCAUGCUGACUUCCACAAACCCACUGGGCCUCUCCUUUGUUUCCUGGGCUUUUGUCGUCACCAGGCAAGUACUGUCCACCAACACCAGGGAGCAUUGCCUCAGGCUUCUCUCCAGAGCCCAGGGCCAGGAGCCCCGUUCGGGUCUCCCACCAGCCCAGCCACUCGCUCAGGUCUCCCACCAGCCCAGCAGCUCAGGUCUCCCCCAAGCCCAGCCACUCGCUCAGGUCUCCCCCGGCCCAGCUGCUCUCCCACAGUGCAUUCAGCGGCUCCAACUUGCCGCUUUCCGUGCGGGAACCCGGUUCCCGGCAUGGUCAUUGCUCUUUCCUCCCCAGAUGUUUUGGCACCUCCUUGAUAAUCAUUUGGCCACUUGUGCAGAGCUUUGCUUCCGCGCUCCGCUCUGUCCCGUCGACCUGCACCACUACCUGCCACUGUGUUCCUGGUGGGGUGACCCUGGAGCGUGUGCCAACUUUCUGUCACUGCAGGUUUGUGUAGCUCUGGAGUCAGGAAGCACAGAUCAUUCUCUUUCUGUAGAGAUCCAGGGUCCCCGGAGGUUCCAUAUGGAGUUUAG
rnacentral:lncRNA from 1 species